GUCAACGUAGCUUAAUGAAGCACCGGUCUUGUAAACCGAAGAGUGAAGGUUCACCCCAUCCUUUGACA
rnacentral:tRNA from 1 species